AACGUCAGGAAAACGGAGGCAUCCUGAGCAGAAGGGGGCUGUGUGCUGGGUGGGCAGACCCCACAGAUGCCCGUCACAGCGAUCACAGGCUGUUGAUGGCACUGUAAGAAACGCCUUGGGCUCUGUCUCACAGGACUCACUCAGGAGAGCCAGGCGUGGCUGACGUCGUCAUGAACACUUGGGGAUCGGAGGCAGAGACACCCAAAGCCACAAAGCGCACCGGGAUCAAUCUUGAAAAGAAUACACAGGUGUCGGGUGAUUAUAUUGCAGGACCGUAUGGAGGGAGAAGUGAUUUUGUUUCUUGGAUAAUGGAAUUAAGUGGGCGCCUCCCGAUUUAUUCCUAAAAACACGGAGGAGCGGUGUUUAUGUUCCCGAAACGUGAAAUCAGUAGAAACACCACUAGGUAAAGAAAGGGAAAUUAGAAAGAAAAUCACCCAUCAUCUGAUUAUACGACAAGCCAUGAACAGUCACACACUUGAUUGUCCUCUGCAAGUCU
rnacentral:lncRNA from 1 species